rnacentral:rRNA from 1 species
UACGGGGGGUGCAAGCGUUGUUCGGAUUGAUUGGGCGUAAAGCGCUCGUAGGCGGGUUUACAAGUCGGUUGUGAAAGCCCCGGGCUUAACCUGGGAAUUGCAUCUGAAACUAUGAAUCUUGAAUGCUUGAGGGGUUGGUGGAAUUCUUGGUGUAGGAGUGAAAUCCGUAGAUAUCAAGAGGAAUACCGGAGGCGAAGGCGGCCGACUGGCAAUGCAUUGACGCUGAGGAGCGAAAGCGUGGGGAGCAAACAGG